rnacentral:lncRNA from 1 species
CAUGGGUUUAGCAGAGUUGUUUAACUUGCAAACUGGAUUGAAGAUUUUGAAUAAAUUUUUGUGUUCUUAAUAUGGUCACAAGUUUGUACUUGUUUAAAACCCUCAAUCAUUUGAAAAUUAUGGCGCCGACAUGGUAGAUGUCCUAGAAAAAACUGGUAGUAACUCAAUGUAGAUACACAUAGUCGAUGGAGUUACUUGCUAAUAACUGGCAAUGAGACAUAUUUGCUUCAAAUGAUGCCUUUAAAGUUUGAAAAGAUUUUUUCUAAUUCAAAUGUCGACUUUUUGUUACAUGAAAAAAGAUACUUAUUUCAACCCCUCGACUAUAUUGGU